rnacentral:rRNA from 1 species
AGCAGCCGCGGUAAUUCCAGCUCCAAUAGCGUAUAUUAAAGUUGUUGCAGUUAAAAAGCUCGUAGUUGAAUUUCGGGAUCAAUUAAUUGGUCGUGCCUCUGGUACGUACUGAUUUUAUUGGUUUCUCCCUUCUGACGAACCAUGAUGUCAUUAAUUUGGUGUCGUGGAGAAUCAGGACUGUUACUUUGAAAAAUUAGAGUGUUUAAAGCAAGCUAACGCUUGAAUACAUUAGCAUGGAAUAAUGAAAUAGGACGCUUGAUCCUAUUUUGUUGGUUUCUAGGAUCGACGUAAUGAUUAAUAGGGAUAGUUGGGGGCAUUAGUAUUCAAUUGUCAGAGGUGAAAUUCUUGGAUUUAUUGAAGACUAACUACUGCGAAAGCAUUUGCCAAGGAUGUUUUCAUUAAUCAAGAACGAAAGUUAGGGGAUCGAAGACGAUCAGAUACCGUCGUAGUCUUAACCAUAAACUAUGCC